UGAACAAAUUGUAAAAGGGAGGUCACCACGAUUCAUGGGCAGAGCCGCAUUUUUAUGCAGAUAAGCUUCAACUUAAAUCUGGGAACAAAAUGCUUAUCACAUACGGUAUUCAUACAAAAAUUACAUACUUUGUUGGAGCGACAAUGGCAAAGAUCAAAUUUACCAUCGUUCGGCUUCCCAUGCAUCGAAUUGCGGAAGUGAGCAACCAAUACCGUUUGCGGCUAUCGAAAUCGAUGAUGGUGAUGUGGAGGUGGUUAUGGAAAUCGACGCUGCUGAUGACGAGGAGGAUUUCGUUAAGACAAGUUUUGGUUCGCUGUGGUUUUACAAACCAAGACCGGCUCUUACAUCCAAACAACGUAGAACGUUCUGUAUGGACAUCAUCCAAAACGACUACGACGAGACGAGCUUGGUGGUACCACUACCACGCGCUCCUGUUGGAUUCCAAAACCAUGCAAGAGAUGGGAUAUUUUUAAUCCGAUUGGGGGAAAUGGAUAGCCACCCCGAACUGCGAGAGAAUGUCCAAGUUAGGACAUUAGUGGAUUGGUUCAGAACCACAUGGUACCACCGUGGAACCACAAGUGAACCAAGUGAACCUAUGGAACCACAUGGAACCUCCGUGGAACCACAAGUGAACCAAGUACACACUCACUUGCUCACACGCUGUCACACUACCGCUCUGCCCCUUGAACGAGGUGAACCUAUGGAACCACAUGGAACCUCCGUGGAACCACAAGUGAACCAAGUACACACUCACUUGCUCACACGCUGUCACACUACCGCUCUGCCCCUUGAACCAGGUGAACCUAUGGAACCACAUGGAACCUCCGUGGAACCACAAGUGAACCAAGUACACUCUCACUUGCUCACACCCUGUCACACUGCCGCUCUGCCCCUUGAACCAGUUGAACCUAUGGAACCACAUGGAACCUCCGUGGAACCACAAGUGAACCAAGUACACUCUCACUUGCCCUCACGCUGUCACACUACCGCUCUGCCCCUUGAACCAGGUGAACCUAUGGAACCACAUGGAACCUCCGUGGAACCACAAGUGAACCAAGUACACACUCACUUGCUCACACGCUGUCAUACUACCGCUCUGCCACUUGAACCAGGUGAACCUAUGGAACCACAUGGAACCUCCGUAGAACCACAAGUGAACCUAUGGAACCACAUGGAACCACCAUGGAACCAUAAGUGAACCAAGUACACACUCACUUGCUCACACGCUGUCAUACUACCGCUCUGCCACUUGAACCAGGUGAACCCAUGGAACCACAUGGAACCUCCGUGGAACCACAAGUGAACCAAGUACACUCUCACUUGCUCACACGCUGUCACACUACCGCUCUACCCCUUGAACCAGGUGAACCUAUGGAACCACAUGGAACCUCCGUGGAACCACAAGUGAACCAAGUACACACUCACUUGCUCACACGCUGUCAUACUACCGCUCUACCCCUUGAACCAGGUGAACCUAUGGAACCACAUGGAACCUCCGUGGAACCACAAGUGAACCAAGUACACUCUCACUUGCUCACACGCUGUCACACUACCGCUCUACCCCUGGAACCAGGUGAACCUAUGGAACCACAUGGAACCUCCGUGGAACCACAAGUGAACCUAUGGAACCACAUGGAACCACCGUGGAACCAGAAGUGAACCUAUGGAACCACAUGGAACCACCGUGGAACCACGAGUGAACGAAGUACACACUCACUUGCUCACACGCUGUCACACUACCGCUCUGCUACUUGAACCAGGUGAACCUAUGGAACCACAUGGAACCUCCGUGGAACCACAGGUGAACCUAUGGAACCACAUGGAACCACCAUGGAACCAUAAGUGAACCAAGUACACUCUCACUUGCUCACACGCUGUCAUACUACCGCUCUGCCACUUGAACCAGGUGAACCCAUGGAACCACAUGGAACCUCCGUGGAACCACAAGUGAACCAAGUACACUCUCACUUGCUCACACGCUGUCACACUACCGCUCUACCCCUUGAACCAGGUGAACCUAUGGAACCACAUGGAACCUCCGUAGAACCACAAGUGAACCUAUGGAACCACAUGGAACCACCAUGGAACCAUAAGUGAACCAAGUACACACUCACUUGCUCACACGCUGUCAUACUACCGCUCUGCCACUUGAACCAGGUGAACCCAUGGAACCACAUGGAACCUCCGUGGAACCACAAGUGAACCAAGUACACUCUCACUUGCUCACACGCUGUCACACUACCGCUCUACCCCUUGAACCAGGUGAACCUAUGGAACCACAUGGAACCUCCGUAGAACCACAAGUGAACCUAUGGAACCACAUGGAACCACCGUGGAACCACGAGUGAACCAAGUACACACUCACUUGCUCACACGCUGUCACACUACCGCUCUGCCACUUGAACCAGGUGAACCUAUGGAACCACAUGGAACCUCCGUGGAACCACAAGUGAACCAAGUACACUCUCACUUGCUCACCGCUCUACCCCUUGAACCAGGUGAACCUAUGGAACCACAAGUGAACCAAGUACACUUUCACCUGCUUUAAUCACAGCUACAAACUAGCAUUUCAAAUACUGUAAGAAAACCUGGGAAUUUUUUGGUACCUAGCAAAGAAGGUUUGAUGGCAAACACAGAAAGUUCUGAACAUUUGUGGUUUCUCGUAGACAUAGCAUAGGAUCCUCUUCAACGGCUUAUUGCACGAGCUUUAUGCUAUGUCUACGAGGAACCACAAAGGUUCAAACUUUCUUUGCUUGCCAUGAAAACUUAAUUGCUAGGUACCAAGAUUUUAUUCGAUCAUUUCGAAUGAUAGUUUGGAGGUUCGGUUGAAGUUACUUCGCACAAUGCGGUUCGCACAAUGCGGUCUAGAUUGUCAAUCUAUGGUAAGGAGAAAAGCGUCUAUUAA